GGCGACUUGGUCUAGUGGUAUGAUCCGUGCUUCGGGUGCAUGGGGUCCCGGGUUCAAUUCCCGGAGUCGCCU
rnacentral:tRNA from 1 species